CUAUACAUGCAGUCGAGCGAAUUUCUUAAGAGCUUGCUCUUAAGAAAUUAGCGGCGGACGGGUGAGUAACACGUGGGUAACCUGCCCAUAAGACUGGGAUAACUCCGGGAAACCGGGGCUAAUACCGGAUAGCAUUUUGAACCGCAUGGUUCGAAAUUGAAAGGCGGCUUCGGCUGUCACUUAUGGAUGGACCCGCGUCGCAUUAGCUAGUUGGUGAGGUAACGGCUCACCAAGGCGACGAUGCGUAGCCGACCUGAGAGGGUGAUCGGCCACACUGGGACUGAGACACGGCCCAGACUCCUACGGGAGGCAGCAGUAGGGAAUCUUCCGCAAUGGACGAAAGUCUGACGGAGCAACGCCGCGUGAACGAUGAAGGCCUUCGGGUCGUAAAGUUCUGUUGUUAGGGAAGAACAAGUACAAGUUGAAUAAGCUUGUACCUUGACGGUACCUAACCAGAAAGCCACGGCUAACUACGUGCCAGCAGCCGCGGUAAUACGUAGGUGGCAAGCGUUAUCCGGAAUUAUUGGGCGUAAAGCGCGCGCAGGUGGUUUCUUAAGUCUGAUGUGAAAGCCCACGGCUCAACCGUGGAGGGUCAUUGGAAACUGGGAAACUUGAGUGCAGAAGAGGAAAGUGGAAUUCCAUGUGUAGCGGUGAAAUGCGUAGAGAUAUGGAGGAACACCAGUGGCGAAGGCGACUUUCUGGUCUGUAACUGACACUGAGGCGCGAAAGCGUGGGGAGCAAACAGGAUUA
rnacentral:rRNA from 1 species